GGCCUCGUAGCUCAGUGGUAGAGCGUCGCACGGGAAUCGCAAAGGUCAUGGGUUUGAAUCCUGUUGGAGCCU